AUCAAAAUGUUUUUUUUUUAUAAAUAUUUUCCAUUUUAUUUGAAAACAUACAUUGCACAAGGCUAUCGUGAAAAAAAAAUUUCGUUCGUUGAAUUUUUCGAUUGUUCAAAGGCUGAUGAGGAUGACCAAUAAAAGAACUAAAAUACAAACAAAAAAUAUCCGUUUAAACGGCCAUCAGCGCAUAUACAAGUUGAAUGACAAAUGAAUGCGCUCUUAAACAAAAACUGGACGUCAAUGUGGAUGGCUGAAAUUUUAAUUGGAUUUUACUGAAAACAUACAUAUGCAUACAAUAUUCGAGAGGAAUUUAGUUCGCGGAGGACAUUUUGUUUGCGAAUAACAAAGAAAAUUUAUGCACAAAGUCUACAUUAAAUGGCUACAACAGGAAGUUGGUGUGGUUUUGUAUAAGCAACUAACUCUCAGGACUUCACCGCACCGUUACGUUAAAGCUUCAAUAUGAGCAUGAAUUUGUACCCCAAACACAUUAACUUCAGAAUAACUAACUCAUUGUAUCUAUAUGUAUGUAUAUUUGCGACUCUACUUAUUAUACUUCAUACAAUUAAUUCGGAACACGAUAUGUCGAGUUGGUCACGUAACUUAUCAAAAGUCCGGAAUAUACAAGCAACCAAUUUUCCGGAUGUACACAGCGCCAAUUAUGAAGCAAUAUGCAUUAAUUGCAUUGGGAAAUUUGCCAAAAUUUGUGCUUUCCCAAACACUUUAGCUAUGAGAAGCACUAAUGACAAUAAGAAGGUUGACAGUGUGUUAAGAAAGAAAAUAUUGAUUUUUAAUUUGUAAAGACUUUUAACAAAAAAAAAAAAAUAAAUCACCGCAGUUGUUUUGGAAA